rnacentral:SRP_RNA from 1 species
AUGUUUCAUAAACCCGGUCAGGUCUGAAAAGAAGCAGCCGUAGUGAAAAUUUUUCAGGUUGUUGCCUGCCUCUUUAAA